rnacentral:SRP_RNA from 1 species
GCUGGACAUGGUGGUACCCUCCUGGACUCCCAGUUACCAAGAUGGCUGAGGCUUAUGGCUCUCUGAAGCCUGAGAGUUCUGAGCUGCAGUGGGUUAUGCAGAGCAGAGAUGUCUGCACUAAGUUUGGCAUCAAUAUGGUGAGACUCUGGGAGAAAGAGAACCACCAAAUUUCCUAAAAAGCAGAAGACCUUUCCAGAUCAGAAGUGGAGCAAGUCAAAGCUCCCAUGCUGAUCUAUUGUAAUUUCAGGACCAUGAGUAGUAACUGCACUUCUAGCCUGGGCAAGAUGGGAAGACCUUGUCUUA